GAAUAGAAUGUGUAUUCUAUGUGAGCUGUAGUGACUGUUAUCUCUAUUCUGGGUCUAGCCACCCAGCAAGUCUACCAGGCUCUGGGCUGGUACUGGGGAUUGUCUGCACACAGAGUCCUGUGAUGUGAACUGUCUAUGGGUUUCUCAGCCGAGGAUACCAGCACCCGUUCUGGUGUAGGUGGCAGGGAGGUGAAAUGCACUCUGUGAGGGUUCUUAGCCUUGGUGGUUUAAUGCUCUAUUUCUGUGCUGGUUGGCCUCCUGCCGGGAGGUGGCACAUUGCAGAGAGCAUCAGCUGUGAAGAGUAUAGAGAGGAACCGGCGGUGGGCGGGGCCCUAGAACUCCCAAGAUAUGCCCUUUGCCUUCAGCUACCAGGGUGGGUAGGGAAGGACCAUCAGGUGGGGGCAGGGCUAGGCGUGUCUGAGCUCAGACUCUCCUUGGGUGGGUCUUGCUGUGGCUGCUGUGGGGGAUGGGGGUAAGGUUCCCAGGUCAGUGGAGCUGUGGCUAGGAGGAUUAUGGCUGCCUUUGCUUAGUCAUGCAGGUUGUCGCAGAAGUGGGAGAAAACCGGCAGUCACAGGCCUCACCCAGCUCCCACACAAUCUGAAGGGUUGGUCUCACUCCCACUGUGCCACCCCUAACAGCACAGAGUCUGUUUCCAGGCAGUGGGCGAGCAGUGCUGAGAACUUGUCCCAGGCUACCUGCCUCCCAGCUGCAAAAGAGAAGGGCUUUAGUUCUUCUCCCACCUGUAGAGUCUGUAAGCUGGAUUCAUGCCCUCCCCCAAGUUCUGGCCAGGAGGCUUCUCGACCUCGGUUCAAAUUGUUACAAAGUUCAGCUGGAGAUUUCCUUCUCCCUGUGGCGUUUUCUCCGUGCCCCUGGCUGCCCUCCCAAAGGAUCCCUGUGAUGCUGGGCAGGAACGGCCUGUUUGGGUACCCAGCGAGCUCCCAGGGCCUUUCCAGCUGCUUCCUCUGCCCCUGCAUUUCACUCGGCUCUCUAAACUGACUCAGCUCCAGGCAAAGCUGUUUGCAUAUUAGCCCUGAAGCUUGUGCAGUGAGGCAGGAUAGAGGAAUGGGAACAGCUGGAGCCAGAGAGACCUGCUGGGAAUCUGGGCUCAGCCACUUUUGACCUGCAUGGUUUCUUGCAAGUCAGGUGUCAGAGCCCUGCCAAAUCUGUGAGAAGGGUGGAAGCAAGUUUCCCUGAGGGAAAAAAAAACAACAAAAAAAAACCUUCUGGAAUUGGGAAAAAUUUAGGUCAACAUCAUUUGAACCUUGACCUCUUGCUCUUUUGUCCCCGGGUGGACAUUUCCUUGACCUCCAGAAAUUCCUCCACCUCAAGGGAAGACUUCUUGCCCCCCUCACUUCCAGAGGCCUCCAAAGUGGGCUGGGAAGAGAUUUAAAGCAGGACCCUGGGAAGCAUGAUGAGACUCUGGAGUGUAGAGAGGCUUCCCUGCAAUGCAAAGAUCUUCAAAGGCCAAGCCCAAGGCACUGCAACCCCCAGGAGGGCCCACUCCAAAGCAGAACAGUGGAGGGAGAGCCUGCGUGUCAAGAAGCCUGGACAGCAAGACCCCCUACUGUGGCAGCCAGCCUGCUUGUAGGAGUCCUGAGAAGCCUAAUUCAAUUACCCUUAUCAGAAUGUCUCUGAACUUAACAAAGCAGAUAAUGAGUUCCAGAGACAGAUACUGCUUGGGGGGCCAAAAUUAUUUUGCUUCCCCAAAUUGGAGGCUGAAAUUGGAGAUGUUUGAAUAAUGGAAAACAUAAUCCUUCCCUAGGCCCAACCCCCUCCCAGUACCCACACCUGAGACACCCUUUCAACCAAGGAGCCUGGAUUCAACAUCCAUGCCGUCUCUCCUCCUGAAGACACCUGGUCAUGAACUCGACCUCUUUCCCCCACCAUCUUUGUGCCAUCGAUGGAAGGAAGCUGCGUACAGGAUGGAAGUGGGAGGGGAAAGGGAUUAACAUUUAUGGAGCCCUCCCCUCUAUGUGUCAGCUACAUAACACAUAGCAUUCAUUUCAACCACAGAACAUAUGUCUUUACAUUACAGAAGGCAACGGAGAACUGGAAAAGUUAACUUACUGCCUGAGGACCCAUCCCCAUCUCACCAGCAGCACAGUCAGAUUCAGACACAGGUAUUCAACUUUGCAACACACUGUGCCUCACGGCCUGUGUGCUCAACAUCAGAAAUCAAAUAGAAACUCCCUCAUUCUAAGAUUCAUAGCCAUCCUCCGAGAUAUGACAUAGCGACCUCUCCUCCGUGAACAGGGAAACAGACUGAGAGGAUAACCUAACUCUCCCAAGGCCAGAGUAUCCACUGGGAUAUGCAGCCAAGUCAGCCAGCAGUUGAAACAAGGGCUCUCUGUGCUAUCUCACAUCUGAAUUGAAUUGUUUCCUACAGACUUCUCAUAGCUCUCUAGGCAAGGAAUACAUCUUCUCACCUUCCCACACUAAGAAAGGCCUCUGUCUGAGCCUGGGUGCCGGGUGGCCAGGAUUCCUGCUGAACGUUCAGGAGCUUUCCAUCUCCAGAGGUGAGCUCCUAGUUCCUGCUUACCUUAGAACUGUAGAACAUAUAAUGUUACCACUGAAAAGAACCUCUCGUAUAGUUGGAUCACACCCUUUACCUAUUUAUUUAAAUGUACUGUUUUAAUUAUGUAACAUUUGAUAUGUGCAGGAUAAUAUGUAUGCAAAUUAUAAAGCAUAAUAAUAAAACCUGUGAACCCACCACUCAACCUUAGAACCAGACCAUUACAAUUGAUGUCCCUCCUACUUCCCCAACAGAAAUAACCACUGUCCGGGACUUUAUGUUUAUAGCCCCACCCCCCACAAUGAUUUUUAUAGUUUUGCCAAAUAUGUUAGCAUGGUAGAUUGCAUUAUUGCUCUGAGUUAAAUAUCCUUCCUUUGACAUAUAAUUUGGCAGUUCCUUCCAUUGGAAGUGAAAUACAUUUCUCUGCCCAAGAUGUUAGAUUUGCUUUGGUCAGUAGAAUGUUGCAGGCUGUGACGGUGAAAAUUCUGAGCCCAGGCCUUAAGAGGAAUCACCUGUUUCCACAUUCCCCACUUGUAUUUCUGCCUCUGCCAUGAGAAAAACAUGCUUCAGGUCACCUGCUGCUCCAAGGAGGAUGAGAGACCUAUGGGGAAGACCUGGACCCAAUCUGAAGUUAGAACUAAGUGCAACUGAGCCCAGCCUGGAUUAACCAACUCCCAGCCAAUCCACAGACACCUGGCUCUGCGAAGGCACGCGCUGAAAAUCACACAGCUGGAAAUGGUGAAUCCAAGCUGCCCAGUACCAGAGGGCGGGCACUUAACCCUCCACACACCCCAGUCUUUCCAGUAGAAACUACCUCAACAGGCUGUGGUAGGAGUUAGACGAGAUGACACAUAUGAAUCACUUGGACACCAUGUUCAGCAAGUGGGACCUCCUGACAGCAUAAGAAGUUCAGAGCUCAAAGACUUUAACCUGUCCAAACUUCAGCACUAAGGGAGACCGAUUAUGCUGUAUGACCUUGGGAAAAUCACCUCACUUCUGGGCCUCAGUUUCCACGCAUGUAAAAUGGGGAUAAAGAAACAACCCAGCUCCUGGGAUUGAUAUGAAGACUGCAUGAGAUGAUACGCAGGACACCCGUGGCACAAUGCAGGGCUUGCAGUAAGAGCUCAAUAAAUACCACCUGCUAUUUGUCUAUAAGUGUGUUUAGCAACAUCUUUGAAUGGAAUCAUAUUGUGCAUUACUUUUUGUAACUUUUUUUCACUCAUUUAGUGUGAUCAUUAAAUAUCCUUCGAG
rnacentral:lncRNA from 1 species